rnacentral:rRNA from 1 species
CAGGCCUAACACAUGCAAGUCGAGGGGUAAGGCUCUUUCGGGAGUACACGACCGGCGAACGGGUGAGUAUCGCGUUUGCAACCUACCUUUAACUGGAGAAUAGCCCGAAGAAAUUCGGAUUAAUGCUCCAUAAUAUCAAGAGAAUGCAUAUUCUUUUGAUUAAAGCUCCGGCGGUUAAAGAUGGGCAUGCGUGCCAUUAGCUUGUUGGUGAGGUAACGGCUCACCAAGGCAACGAUGGCUAGGGGUUCUGAGAGGAUGAUCCCCCACACUGGUACUGAGACACGGACCAGACUCCUACGGGAGGCAGCAGUGAGGAAUAUUGGUCAAUGGGCGAAAGCCUGAACCAGCCAUGCCGCGUGCAGGACGACGGCGCUAUGCGUUGUAAACUGCUUUUCUGCUCCAAGAACCCCCCGAUCGUGAUCGGGGUUGACGGUAGAGCAGGAAUAAGCAUCGGCUAACUCCGUGCCAGCAGCCGCGGUAAUACGGAGGAUGCAAGCGUUAUCCGGGUUUAUUGGGUUUAAAGGGUGCGUAGGCGGGAUAAUAAGUCAGUGGUGAAAUCCUGCGGCUUAACCGUAGAAUUGUCAUUGAUACUGUUAUUCUUGAGUUCAGUUGAGGUGGGCGGAAUGUAUAAUGUAGCGGUGAAAUGCUUAGAUAUUAUACAGAACACCGAUUGCGAAGGCAGCUCACUAAGCUGAUACUGACGCUGAGGCACGAAAGCGUGGGGAGCGAACAGGAUUAGAUAUCCUGGUAGUCCACGCUGUAAACGAUGAUCACUCGCUGUUGGCAAUACAUCGUCAGCGGCUGAGCGAAAGCAUUAAGUGAUCCACCUGGGGAGUACGUCGGCCACGAUGAAACUCAAAGGAAUUGACGGGGGGCCCGCACAAGCGGUGGAACAUGUGGUUUAAUUCGAUGAUACGCGAGGAACCUUACCUGGGGCUUAAAUGCAGAACGACGGUUCCCGAAAGGGAUCAUUCUUCGGACGGACUGCAAGGUGCUGCAUGGUUGUCGUCAGCUCGUGCCGUGAGGUGUCGGGUUAAGUCCCAUAACGAGCGCAACCCCUAUUGUUAGUUGCCAGCGAGUAAUGUCGGGGACUCUAACGAAACUGCCGGUGUAAACCGAGAGGAAGGUGGGGAUGACGUCAAAUCAGCACGGCCAUUAUGUCCAGGGCUACACACGUGUUACAAUGGACGAUACAGAGGGAAGCUACUUGGCGACAAGAUGCUAAUCCCGAAAUUCGUUCUUAGUUCGGAUUGGAGUCUGCAACUCGACUUCAUGAAGCUGGAAUCGCUAGUAAUCGCACAUCA